UCCCUCUUAGCUCAGUGGUAGAGCCCGCCAUAUCAAGAAGUUUCACCUUCCAAUGGCAAGGUCAGUCGUUCAAAUCGGCUAGAGGGAA